UCCUGUACACUAUACAUGCCUUAUCAACAGGUCGAGGAACGGUUGACAAUGCCUCUCGGCCAUCUCCAAGUGUGGAGUUGCCACCCACUACGUCACUGACCCAUGCAGUGGCAUCGGAUCCUGUUGCAGCGGCGGUCUCAAACCCAGCUUCAUUGGUGUCUGAUUCGAGUGCAGUAGCUCUGCUAGCAGAAUACCCGCACCGAGCACAGCCUCCCAUUGUGUCCGUGCCUGCAUCUACGUCUGCCAUGUCUUCUUCUUCCGCUGGAGUGAGCCCUGAUACGUCCGGUGCAGCCACAGAUUCUCCUGAAGUGGAUUUUUCCUCUGGACCGCGUCUUACAGGGAGGCAGUCAGUAAGACAGAUCGCUUCUGAAACGUGGAACUUCCUGUGCAGGUUUCAGAGCAUCAUCAUCGUUGUGAUCGUGUUUCUCUUGGCGGACAGGAUCUGGAAAUUUCUGGGAUACUGACGCUUAUUGGGAGGCUGAACAGUGAGCACGACUACCGACUGGCCGAAUAUUUAAAAAUCAUUCAAUCAGCUGCUGCAAUUGCGGUCACGGCAUUCUUGCUAUCCCCGUGAUUUGUCCAUCUACCUGUAGUUAUGGCCAUCUUUCCCCAUGCCCAUGGAGGAGCCGUUUCGCAAUUCCGUGAUGACUUCAUUUGUUUUUUUGUUUUUCUUUUUUUUUUGUUGUCCAAGACUGGCUGUUAUCACAACCUCACAGUCAGUCACCAAUACGCUGUACUUGAAACUGUGAUUCUGCAGUUGCCAUGGCAAUGACGUUAGUCACUGCAUUCGUCUGAGUCGCACCGCAAACCAAUUGACAGGCCGAAAUAACGUUGUGCACAAGCACACUUGAUUCUUUGACUCUUUGCCGUGAUAAUGAUGCAGACUUUAUUCGAUGAACCUUUCCUCUUUCAGGUCGUCUCCUUCCGCUGUUUGAGAGUGGCAGACUCAACUGAGCAUUAUUAUGCUCUACAACCAUAAUUUAAUCCUUAGACAUUUGAAAUUCUCCCAUGUCCCUCUUAGAGAUUUUACUUUUUCUUUGGUUGUGUGUGUGUGUGUGUGUGUGUGUGUGUGUGUGUGUGUGUGUGUAUGUGUGUGUGUGUGUGUGUGUGUGUGUGUGUGUGUGUGUGUGUGUGUGUGUGUGUGCGUACGCGCGUUUGGAGUGUGGAUAUGGGUGUGCUAGUGAAUGUAUUUCCCUAGCUGUGUUGAGCUCCGCUUUCAGUUUUAAGAUCAUGACACGUUGGAACGUGGAUGUGCUACCCCCCCUCCCCCCCCCCCCAUUUUUCAUCUUAUCUGCAGGCAGAUUUGCUCAUCCUCGUCUUUAUAUUUUCAUGUCAAUUUGCUAUUUUUCUGAUGCUUUCUGCUUUCAUGACGAUAGCAGGCAUUCUUCACUAAAGCAUUGUCUUUUAGGUCGUAGUAAUAAUUUUUAUUGGUAGUUGCCGA